AGAGUUUGUCAUGGCUCAGGAUGAACGCUAGCUACAGGCUUAACACAUGCAAGUCGAGGGGUAGCAGGGUAGCAAUACCGCUGACGACCGGCGCACGGGUGAGUAACACGUAUCCAACCUUCCCAUAACUCAGGGAUAGCCUUUCGAAAGAAAGAUUAAUACCUGAUAGUACUUUUUCAAGGCAUCUUAGAAAAAGUUAAAGAUUUAUUGGUUAUGGAUGGGGAUGCGUUCCAUUAGAUAGUUGGUGAGGUAACGGCUCACCAAGUCUUCGAUGGAUAGGGGUUCUGAGAGGAAGGUCCCCCACAUUGGUACUGAGACACGGACCAAACUCCUACGGGAGGCAGCAGUGAGGAAUAUUGGUCAAUGGGCGAGAGCCUGAACCAGCCAAGUAGCGUGAAGGAUGAAAGGUCCUAUGGAUUGUAAACUUCUUUUAUAGUAGAAUAAAGUGAUCCACGUGUGGAUUUUUGUAUGUAUACUAUGAAUAAGGAUCGGCUAACUCCGUGCCAGCAGCUGC
rnacentral:rRNA from 1 species